GACGAACGCUGGCGGCGUGCCUAAUACAUGCAAGUCGAACGCUCCUUUCCUCCCCUUUCCUCUCUCUCAAUUGGAACGGGGGGUUGCGGACGGGGUAGUAACCCUUCGUUAACCUACCCAUUAACUUGGGAAAACACGUGCAAACAGGUGCUAAUAUCUCAAAACAGUUUAUGCCGCAGGGCAUAAGGGUGUUGGUGGCUCUUGUAGAUCGUUCCGCGCUGCAUUAGCUAGUUGGUAAGGUAACGGCUUACCAAGGCCACGAUGCAUAGCCGACCUGAGAGGGUGAUCGGCCACACUGGAACUGAGACACGGUCCAGACUCCUACGGGAGGCAGCAGUAGGGAAUCUUCGGCAAUGGGCGAAAGUCUGACGGAGCAACGCCGCGUGAGUGAUGAAGGUCUUCGGAUCGUAAAACUCUGUUAUUAGGGAAGAACAAAUGUGUAAGUAACUGUGCACCUCUUGACGGUACCUAAUCAGAAAGCCACGGCUAACUACGUG
rnacentral:rRNA from 1 species